AGAAAACAUCGAUUAAAGUUACGUCACAAAAAAUGGUGGACGUUACCACGUGUUCACGGCAAUUAAUGCAUUAUUGUUUUCAAUAAUACUCUACCCUGCCACAAGAACUAAAUGAAGUGACAUAUUAAACAUUUCCGUGUUUUGCAAUUCCGUUUCUUUAAAAUUUUUGAAUGAUUGAUAAUUAAUUUAUCGCCCUUUGAAUCGACACGCCAUUUGUAAACAUGGAAGGUCCCGGAGAAAUUGAAACUACCAAAAACAGUUAUUUGAUGAUUUAUUUCCAUUGUAUAAAGAAUGACAGUUAACGAAUCUCAAGUUCAACCACUGAGGAUUGUUUGGCUUGAUGCAAUGACCUUAAACAGUUAAAGGAUUUUCCAGGAAGGUCUAUACAUCACAAGCUGGAGUUUUGGGGGUGAUGAAAGAACUAUGAAUAUGUGAAUGGGAAUGAAACAGAAGGAAAUAAUAUGUUCUACUGAUCAUCCAGCUGAAAUCAUGCCUAUGGAAUAGAGUGCAUGUCACAACUACUUACAUGAGGAAAUAACUCCAUAUUGCACAAAUAAGGACAUGUUUCCUGCCCUCAUGACUUGAAAAAGUUAAACAUUCUAAUUCAAAUUACAAAUGUGUUUCAAGAAAAAGUAAAACUUAGUCAACUGUGAGAAAUAUUGGGUAAAAGUAUUUUAUAAGUGUUUUGUUGCCAAGACAGCUGUGAAGUGGUUUGAAAAGCAUUAUCUUAAUUGUUCUAACAAUACAGAAUUUAACUUAUGAAUUUUCCAAAACUGCAUGCAUGAAAUAUUAAGACAUGUCUGUUGAAUGAAUCCUAGUUGUUUCAAAACUACUACAUGUGUGACAUUUAAAGCACAACCUAUGGAUGAAACAUUUUUACAAACAAAACUGCCUUGCCAGUGUGAGUGUAGGAAAGAUUUUCCCAGAAAUGGCCAUGACAGAAAACUUCCAAUAUAGCAGAAAAUAUUUGUCACUGGCUAAAUAUAAUAUAUUUUAUUUCAAGAAUUAAUCAUGUAAAUCCAUGGCUUUAAUUGUGUUAAAAGAUAUUUCACAUGAACUUUGCAGAAAUAGCUAAUUUUUGUUGCAAAACAUUGUGAGUUGCCAUGGUAACACAAAUUUGACUUAAAUUUAGAUUUGUUUGAUUAUGUAGACAACAUGUUUCUUGUUUAUAUUCUGCUAAUCAGACUAUGUUCUGCAAGUAAAUAUCUUUUAUGUGUAAUCAUUGCUUCGACAAAACAUGUCAUAACACAAAUCUGCCAUAAAAUGGCAGAGUUGUAAUGCAGGUAGGCAUAUCAGGAAAAUAUGUAGUUCUCAAAGUCAAAAUAUAUUACAUGAAAUAUGUAUUUUUUUAUAAAUGAUCAUAAUUGACCAUUUAUGGUGUAAAACAAAUGUAUACUGAACAGAUGCUAAAUGAAUGUUCUGAUUCUUUCUGGAAAAUUUCCAAAAUUCUACUAUUUUAAGAAAAUAGUGCAUUGUUGCCAUGGUAACGUUAAUUUGACUUUUAAAUUAUUUUGGAUAUCAUCAUAUUUAAACAACAUCUUUCUUGUUUAUAUGUUAUAUUUGUUAAUCUGUAAUAUGUUAGUGAAUAUAUUUUCAUAUAUAAUAAUUGCACCAGCAAAGCACUUUAAAUUAAGAAAACAGACAGAUUUUGAUGUAAAUAUAUGGAAAAACACUUCAAAUAUUCAAAUUAUUACAAAGAAAUUGACAAAAAUGUUAGUAUUUUUGUAAGAAAAUACCACAUUGUUGCCAUGGUAAUGUUAGUAUUUUUGUAAGAAAAUACCACAUCGUUGCCAUGGUAAUGAUUCACUGAUCAGUAUAUCUAAGUCUUCUGAAAUUUUAGCAAACUCACAGUUGAUAAUAACAGUCUAAUAAUUAUAUCUUCUUGCUUGAUUUUCUUUCUUACUGUUUAAUAGAUAAGGUUUCUAUAACAAUAAGAUUAAUGUCCUAGUUUUUGGGAUGUUGUCUAAUUUGAUAUCAAAUAAAGUCUGUAUUUUGUUCAAAAGAAUGUCAUAAAACAGUUGUCUGUAAAAUGUUUGCACACUUGAAAAAGUUAAUUGUGUAUUUAUUUCACAUUCUAUGUAAUUUAUUGCUAGAUUCAUCAAUACACUGUUAAAAAAGAGGUUAAACAACAGUGUUGCUAUAGAAACGAUUUUUAGAACAUAAAUACUUUUAUACUACAUGAAAGAAAGAGACAAAAAGAAAUACAUUCCAUUAAUUGCAUGUUGCUUUUGUUAUUUUAUCAUGUAUUUUAUCUUGAUAUUAU